rnacentral:tRNA from 1 species
UGGGUGCGUAACUCAGUUGGAUAGAGUAGCGGAUUUCUAAUCCGCCUGCCGCAGGUUCGAGCCCUGCCGUACCCGU